rnacentral:rRNA from 1 species
UACGUAGGGGGCAAGCGUUGUCCGGAUUUAUUGGGCGUAAAGAGCGUGUAGGCGGCCAGAUAGGUCUGCUGUGAAAACUCGAGGCUCAACCUCGAGAUGUCGGCGGAAACCAUUUGGCUAGAGUCCGGAAGAGGAAAGUGGAAUUCCUGGUGUAGCGGUGAAAUGCGCAGAUAUCAGGAAGAACACCCGUAGCGAAGGCGGCACUCUGGGCCGGAACUGACGCUGAGGAGCGAAAGCGUGGGGAGCGAACAGG